rnacentral:rRNA from 1 species
UGGGGAAUAUUGGACAAUGGGCGCAAGCCUGAUCCAGCCAUGCCGCGUGAGUGAUGAAGGCCCUAGGGUUGUAAAGCUCUUUCACCGGUGAAGAUAAUUACGGUAACCGGAGAAGAAGCCCCGGCUAACUUCGUGCCAGCAGCCGCGGUAAUACGAAGGGGGCUAGCGUUGUUCGGAUUUACUGGGCGUAAAGCGCACGUAGGCGGACUUUUAAGUCAGGGGUGAAAUCCCGGGGCUUAACCCCGGAACUGCCUUUGAUACUGGAAGUCUUGAGUAUGGUAGAGGUGAGUGGAAUUCCGAGUGGAGAGGUGAAAUUCGUAGAUAUUCGGAGGAACACCAGUGGCGGAGGCGGCUCACUGGACCAUUACUGACGCUGAGGUGCGAAAGCGUAGGGAGCAAACAGG